rnacentral:rRNA from 1 species
GACGAACGCUGGCGGCGCGCUUAACACAUGCAAGUCGAGCGAGAACCAGGGCUUCGGCCCUGGGGACAGCGGCGAACGGGUGAGUAACACGUGGAUAACCUGCCCUCGGCACCGGGAUAGCCCGGGGAAACCCGGAUUAAUACCGGAUGGCCCUUCCGGCCUUCGAGCCGGUCGGAAAAGGUAGCUUCGGCCUCCGGCCGAGGAUGGGUCCGCGGCGGAUUAGCUUGUUGGUGGGGUAACGGCCUACCAAGGGUACGAUCCGUAGCUGGUCUGAGAGGACGAUCAGCCACACUGGGGCUGAGACACGGCCCAGACGCCUACGGGAGGCAGCAGUGGGGAAUCUUGCGCAAGGGGCGAAAGCCUGACGCAGCGACGCCGCGUGAGGGAGGAAGGCCUUCGGGUUGUAAACCUCUUUCAGGAGGGACGAAGCUACUCGGGUGAAUAGCCCAGAGGGUGACGGUACCUCCAGAAGAAGCCCCGGCUAACUACGUGCCAGCCGCCGCCGUAAGAC